UUGACCUCAAAUCAGGUAGGACUACCCGCUGAACUUAAGCAUAUCAAUAAGCGGAGGAAAAGAAACUAACAAGGAUUCCCUUAGUAACUGCGAGUGAAGUGGGAAAAGCUCAAAUUUAAAAUCUGGCAGUCAUUUGGCUGUCCGAGUUGUAAUCUAGAGAAGUGUUGCCCGUGCUGGACCAUGUACAAGUCUCCUGGAAUGGAGCAUCACAGAGGGUGAGAAUCCUGUCUUUGACAUGGACUGCCAGUGCUUUUGUGGUAUGCUCUCAAAGAGUCGAGUUGUUUGGGAAUGCAGCUCAAAAUGGGUGGUAAAUGCCAUCUAAAGCUAAAUAUUGGGCGAGAGACCGAUAGUGAACCAGUACCGUGAGGGAAAGAUGAAAAGAACUUUGGGAAAGAGAG
rnacentral:rRNA from 1 species